rnacentral:rRNA from 1 species
GCGAGUCGAAUGUAGCAAUACAUGGCGUACUGCUCAGUAACACGUGGACAACCUGCCCUUAGGUCGGGUAUAAACCCGGGAAACUGGGUAUAAUCCCCGAUAGAUCUCGGCUGCUGGAAUGCACCGAGAUUGAAAGCUCCGGCGCCUAAGGAUGGGUCUGCGGCCUAUCAGGUAGUAGUGGGUGUAGCGUACCUACUAGCCUACGACGGGUACGGGUUGUGAGAGCAAGAGCCCGGAGAUGGAUUCUGAGACACGAAUCCAGGCCCUACGGGGUGCAGCAGGCGCGAAAACUUUACAAUGCUGGCAACAGCGAUAAGGGAACCUCGAGUGCCAGGUUACAAAUCUGGCUGUCGAGAUGCCUAAAAAGCAUUUCAUAGCAAGGGCCGGGCAAGACCGGUGCCAGCCGCCGCGGUAACACCGGCGGCUCGAGUGGUAACCGUUAUUAUUGGGUCUAAAGGGUCUGUAGCCGGCCGGAUAAGUCUCUUGAGAAAUCUGGCAGCUUAACUGUCAGGCUUUCAGGAGAUACUGUCUGGCUCGAGGCCGGGAGAGGUGAGAGGUACUUCAGGGGUAGGGGUGAAAUCUUGUAAUCCUUGAAGGACCACCAGUGGCGAAGGCGUCUCACCAGAACGGACCUGACGGCAAGGGACGAAAGCUAGGGGCACGAACCGGAUUAGAUACCCGGGUAGUCCUAGCCGUAAACGAUACUCGCUAGGUGUCGGCCACGGUGCGACCGUUGUCGGUGCCGUAGGGAAGCCGUGAAGCGAGCCACCUGGGAAGUACGGCCGCAAGGCUGAAACUUAAAGGAAUUGGCGGGGGAGCACCACAACGGGUGGAGCUUGCGG